UACGUAGGGUGCGAGCGUUAAUCGGAAUUACUGGGCGUAAAGGGUGCGCAGGCGGCCGCGCAAGUCGAGUGUGAAAUCCCCGAGCUUAACUUGGGAAUUGCGCUCGAAACUACGUGGCUGGAGUGUGGCAGAGGAAGGUGGAAUUCCACGUGUAGCGGUGAAAUGCGUAGAUAUGUGGAGGAACACCGAUGGCGAAGGCAGCAUUCUGGGCCAACACUGACGCUCAUGCACGAAAGCGUGGGGAGCAAACAGG
rnacentral:rRNA from 1 species